rnacentral:rRNA from 1 species
GACGUAGGGCGCAAGCGUUGUCCGGAUUUAUUGGGCGUAAAGAGCUCGUAGGCGGCUUGUUGCGUCGUCCGUGAAAACCUGCAGCUCAACUGCAGGCUUGCGGUCGAUACGGGCAGGCUAGAGUUCGGUAGGGGAGACUGGAAUUCCUGGUGUAGCGGUGAAAUGCGCAGAUAUCAGGAGGAACACCGGUGGCGAAGGCGGGUCUCUGGGCCGAUACUGACGCUGAGGAGCGAAAGCGUGGGGAGCGAACAGG